CCUACGGGUGGCAGCAGUGAGGAAUAUUGGUCAAUGGGCGGAAGCCUGAACCAGCCAAGUAGCGUGCAGGAUGACGGCCCUACGGGUUGUAAACUGCUUUUAUACGGGAAUAAUGCGUCUUCCGUGUAGGGCUUUGCAUGUACCGUAUGAAUAAGGACCGGCUAAUUCCGUGCCAGCAGCCGCGGUAAUACGGAAGGUCCGGGCGUUAUCCGGAUUUAUUGGGUUUAAAGGGAGCGUAGGCGGCAUGUCAAGUGUGCGGUGAAAUGUCCGGGCUCAACCCGGGGCUUGCAGCGCGGACUGGCGUGCUUGAGUCCGCGGAAAGCAGGCGGAAUUCGUCGUGUAGCGGUGAAAUGCUUAGAUAUGACGAAGAACCCCGAUUGCGAAGGCAGCUUGCUGCAGCGGAACUGACGCUGAUGCUCGAAAGCGCGGGUAGCGAACAGGAUUAGAUACCCGAGUAGUC
rnacentral:rRNA from 1 species